AUUGAACGCUGGCGGCAGGCCUAACACAUGCAAGUCGAACGGUAACAGGAAGAGCUUGCUUCUUUGCUGACGAGUGGCGGACGGGUGAGUAAUGUCUGGGAAACUGCCUGAUGGAGGGGGAUAACUACUGGAAACGGUAGCUAAUACCGCAUAACGUCGCAAGACCAAAGAGGGGGACCUUCGGGCCUCUUGCCAUCGGAUGUGCCCAGAUGGGAUUAGCUAGUAGGUGGGGUAACGGCUCACCUAGGCGACGAUCCCUAGCUGGUCUGAGAGGAUGACCAGCCACACUGGAACUGAGACACGGUCCAGACUCCUACGGGAGGCAGCAGUGGGGAAUAUUGCACAAUGGGCGCAAGCCUGAUGCAGCCAUGCCGCGUGUAUGAAGAAGGCCUUCGGGUUGUAAAGUACUUUCAGCGGGGAGGAAGGGAGUAAAGUUAAUACCUUUCCUCAUUGACGUUACCCGCAGAAGAAGCACCGGCUAACUCCGUGCCAGCAGCCGCGAUCG
rnacentral:rRNA from 1 species